CUUCCCUGUGGUGCCAGGCAUGGGGUGGGGGCCGUGUGCUGAGGCCCAGACCUGCUGUCAGGAGAUGCCACUCCAGGGUCUGGUCAUUCAGCCCCCGACGGCCCUGUGUACUCACCGAGCCCUGCCCUGUGCCCGGGAUCGAGGAGGCUGAGAGGGACUCAGGACACACGGUCUUUGUCCCUGGGGGCUUCCCUCCCACCUGGAGGUGCCCGGCACACAGAGUCUCCUGGACUGCAAGAAGAUCCAACCAGUCCAUCCUAAAGGAAAUCAGUCCUGAAUAUUCAUGGGAAGGAUUGGUGCUGAAGCUGAAACUCCAGUACUCUUUGGCCACCUGAUGCGAAGAACUGACUCGCUGGAAAAGACCCUGAUGCUGGGAAAGAUUGAAGGCGGGAGGAGAAGGAGACGACAGAGGAUGAGACGGUUGGAUGGCAUCAUGAACUCAAUGGACAUGAGUUUGAGUAAAGUCCGGGAGUUGGUGAUGGACAGGGAGGCCGGGCAUGCUGCACCAUGGGGUCACAAAGAGUCAGACACGACUGAGAGACAGCAACUCUCCUCUACCCCCUCCAGACAGGACUCCAUCUGGAUCAAUUCCUUCAUCCCCAAGAACUUCCCUCAAUAUGUCUUACCCUGCAGGUGGUGAAUUCCCUGUUUACCUGUAAACAUCUUUUUCUGCUUUCAUUUCGAGGGAUAUUGUCACUGGAGGCACAAUUUUGGAUCGACAUGUCCUGAGUCCCACACUUUCCGUCCCCAUCACCUCUAGGAAGCACUCUUGCUUCCUUGCAGACAAUACAUCUGCUUUGAAGAGUUUUUUCUUAGUCUUUGGUGUUCAGUGAUCUAAUCAUGCUGUGCCCGGGAGUCAUUUUCUUCCGUUCUUCUUGGAGUUGGCUGAGAGGCUUGAACCUGUAAGUUCUCUGUUCUUCACAAAAUGAGGGGAAGUUUUGAUCGUUAGCCCUUCAAGUCUUCUGCCUCUGGCCCAUUAUAAAGAGAUGUAUGUUGCAUCUCUUGAUAUUUCCCCACUGGUUGUGGAAGCUCUGUUCACUUUUUUCAGUACUUUUUCUGUCUCUUCGCCAGAGGGGAGAGUUCCAUGGCUCUGCAUUUCAGUUCACUGGCCCCUUCUGCCGUUUUCCUUCUGUUAUUAACUCCAUCCAGCAAGUGUCACAGUUCAACGCAUUAAGUUCUUUAGUCCUAGAAGUUUCUAUUUAUUCUUUUUUAUACUUUCCACUUGUUUAUUGAGAUUUUCCC
ensembl:lncRNA